rnacentral:lncRNA from 1 species
AUACUACAUACAGUUUUGGGGGGUUUAUGUUUUCACAUAACAGUAUGUCCUGGGAAUCACUCCAUAUCAGUUCGUAGAGAUCUUUUUCAUUCUUUUUGUACAGCUGCAUAGUACAUAGUGUUCCACUAUGUGAAUGUACCAUAACUUAGUGAAUCAUUCUCCUAUAUAUUUUGCAAUUAUAAACAAUACUGCAAUGAAUAACCUUGUGAUAUGUAUUUUCAUAUUGUUGGAGAUGUAGCUUCAGGGUAGAUUCCUAGAAGUGGGAUUGCUAGGUUGAAAGCUAAGUACAUAUGUAAUUUUGUUAGAUAUUGCCA